UACGUAGGGUGCGAGCGUUAAUCGGAAUUACUGGGCGUAAAGCGUGCGCAGGCGGUUUUGUAAGCCAGAUGUGAAAUCCCCGGGCUCAACCUGGGAAUGGCAUUUGGGACUGCAAGGCUGGAGUGCGGCAGAGGAGACUGGAAUUCCUGGUGUAGCAGUGAAAUGCGUAGAUAUCAGGAGGAAUACCGGUGGCGAAAGCGACUCUCUGGACGGUUACUGACGCUGAGGCACGAAAGCGUGGGGAGCAAACAGG
rnacentral:rRNA from 1 species